AACGAACGCUGGCGGCAGGCCUAACACAUGCAAGUCGAGCGCGCCUUCGGGUGAGCGGCGGACGGGUUAGUAACGCGUGGGAACCUGCCUUUAGGUUCGGAAUAACAGUUAGAAAUGACUGCUAAUACCGGAUAAGCCCUUACGGGGAAAGUUUUAACGCCGAAAGAUGAGCCUGCACUUGAUUAGCUAGUUGGUAAGGUAAAAGCUUACCAAGGCAACGAUCAAUAGCUGUUCUUAGAGGAAGACCAGCCACAUUGGGACUGAGACACGGCCCAGACUCCUACGGGAGGCAGCAGUGGGGAAUCUUGCACAAUGGGGGAAACCCUGAUGCAGCGAUGCCGCGUGAGUGAAGAAGGCCUUUGGGUUGUAAAACUCUUUCGUCGGGGAAGAAAAUGACUGUACCCGAAUAAGAAGGUCCGGCUAACUUCG
rnacentral:rRNA from 1 species